rnacentral:rRNA from 1 species
UACGUAGGGUGCGAGCGUUAAUCGGAAUUACUGGGCGUAAAGCGUGCGCAGGCGGUUCGCUAAGACCGAUGUGAAAUCCCCGGGCUUAACCUGGGAACUGCAUUGGUGACUGGCGGGCUAGAGUAUGGCAGAGGGGGUAGAAUUCCACGUGUAGCAGUGAAAUGCGUGGAGAUGUGGAGGAAUACCGAUGGCGAAGGCAGCCCCCUGGGCCAAUACUGACGCUGAGGUGCGAAAGCGUGGGGAGCAAACAGG